CGCCCCGCAACGCCAUCUUUAUCGGGGGUUGUGUGAUGGACUGGGAAGGCUCACCGCUCCCUUGUGUUUGCUUUGUGGGCCUCGAAGACCCGAGGAGGUCGUCAGGAUGUAACAAGUGGUAUGCCACGAGGAUCGGUGCUGGGACCUCAAACCAUUUACAAUCUAUACAAAUGACCUGGAUGCAGGGACCAUAGACACCGACAGACCUGUGAAUUUGGAAAAGUCUUGCUUUGGCUCAAUGCAAGGUCGUACAGGAUUUGACUAAGGUCAUGAAACGUGCUUAAGGUGGCUGGCAGCAGGAUAAAGUCUAAUUGGUCUGUGAAACUCACUUGCUCUUGCUGGCUGGUGGACAGUCACUGGUUAACCCACUGUUGUGGUGUAACACCCGAACCCAAUCCCCACUAUGCCUCAUGUCCACACACAGACACUUUCAAAUGAGGGUCCCUCGUUAGCAGGUAACAACAGAGAACUUGGCCGAUUUCCACAUACACUCCUGACUAAACCAGUGAACUGAAGCCAGCCAUCUUUACCCAGUUUUUACCCGAGCUAGCACCAUGGGCGAAGCCGUGAAAUGUUUGGUCGGAGCAUCUUAGUUGCACACCAGGUCGCACACUGAAUCAAUGAGCGAUUACAGCGAGAAUCGCAUUUUGUAAAUUGACCGAUAUUGAAGUCUUUCCUUCUGUGUCUGAUCUGUCACAGGAGCAAGAAAUUGAAAAGCAGACACAGUAGAGAGAGAGCUGUUAAUUAAGCUCCGCAGUGACUGCAGGUUCAAAUCCUUGUCCAGCCCACAGCUCCAAAGACACAGAAUUGUUACAGUGCAGAGAGUCCCAUCAUGUCUGUACCAGUUCUUCAAACAGGUUCACUCAGUGACAUUCUCCCAUCCUCUCCUCAUAACCCUGUGCUUUCUUCCUUUUCCACAUUAUACUCCAAGUCCCUCUUGAAAGCAGUUAUUGGGUCUACUUCCACCACAGACACAAGUAACACUGUCCAGACCCUCAAUACUUCCUUUGAAAAUAAAAACCUAUUUUUA